CAGGCUUAACACAUGCAAGUCGAGGGGCAUCAGGAAGAAAGCUUGCUUUCUUUGCUGGCGACCGGCGCACGGGUGAGUAACACGUAUCCAACCUGCCCUUUACUCGGGGAUAGCCUUUCGAAAGAAAGAUUAAUACCCGAUAGCAUAAUGAUUCCGCAUGGUUUCAUUAUUAAAGGAUUCCGGUAAAGGAUGGGGAUGCGUUCCAUUAGGUUGUUGGUGAGGUAACGGCCCACCAAGCCUUCGAUGGAUAGGGGUUCUGAGAGGAAGGUCCCCCACAUUGGAACUGAGACACGGUCCAAACUCCUACGGGAGGCAGCAGUGAGGAAUAUUGGUCAAUGGGCGCUAGCCUGAACCAGCCAAGUAGCGUGAAGGAUGAAGGCUCUAUGGGUCGUAAACUUCUUUUAUAUAAGAAUAAAGUGCAGUAUGUAUACUGUUUUGUAUGUAUUAUAUGAAUAAGGAUCGGCUAACUCCGUGCCAGCAGCCGCGGUAAUACGGAGGAUCCGAGCGUUAUCCGGAUUUAUUGGGUUUAAAGGGAGCGUAGGUGGACUGGUAAGUCAGUUGUGAAAGUUUGCGGCUCAACCGUAAAAUUGCAGUUGGUACUGUCAGUCUUGAGUACAGUAGAGGUGGGCGGAAUUCGUGGUGUAGCGGUGAAAUGCUUAGAUAUCACGAAGAACUCCGAUUGCGAAGGCAGCUCACUGGACUGCAACUGACACUGAUGCUCGAAAGUGUGGGUAUCAAACAGGAUUAGAUACCCUGGUAGUCCACACAGUAAACGAUUAAUACUCGCUGUUUGCGAUAUACAGUAAGCGGCCAAGCGGAAGCAUUAAGUAUUCCACCUGGGGAGUACGCCGGCAACGGUGAAACUCAAAGGAAUUGACGGGGGCCCGCACAAGCGGAGGAACAUGUGGUUUAAUUCGAUGAUACGCGAGGAACCUUACCCGGGCUUAAAUUGCAGUGGAAUGAUGUGGAAACAUGUCAGUGAGCAAUCACCGCUGUGAAGGUGCUGCAUGGUUGUCGUCAGCUCGUGCCGUGAGGUGUCGGCUUAAGUGCCAUAACGAGCGCAACCCUUAUCUUUAGUUACUAACAGGUUAUGCUGAGGACUCUAGAGAGACUGCCGUCGUAAGAUGUGAGGAAGGUGGGGAUGACGUCAAAUCAGCACGGCCCUUACGUCCGGGGCUACACACGUGUUACAAUGGGGGGUACAGAAGGCAGCUAGCGGGUGACCGUAUGCUAAUCCCAAAAUCCUCUCUCAGUUCGGAUCGAAGUCUGCAACCCGACUUCGUGAAGCUGGAUUCGCUAGUAAUCGCGCAUCAGCCACGGCGCGGUGAAUACGUUCCCGGGCCUUGUACACACCGCCCGUCAAGCCAUGGGAGCCGGGGGUACCUGAAGUACGUAACCGCAAGGAUCGUCCUAGGGUAAAACUGGUGACUGGGGCUA
rnacentral:rRNA from 1 species